rnacentral:lncRNA from 1 species
AAAAACGCUCUCAGCCCCUCAGUCCUCCGACCAUCGGCCGGUCAUCGGAAGGUCACCGACCACCACGCCGGCCGCUGAUUUUCGACGCCGGUGCCGCCGUUUGCGGUGGCCGAAAAAGGGAAAGUUCCCUUUUUAAUAUUUCUGACCCCUCUAGGCCCAGAUCUGGGCUAAAAAUCCCCAAAAUCGAUAAAAAAAAACACUAGAAAAACCCUAGAAACUUUUUGGUUUCUAGUCGUCUGUCAUCGGAGACGAUUCCUCGGCCGUUCACGUCAAUUAGGGCUUAAAACCCAGGUUCUUUAUUUCCUCUUGUAUUAUUUAUAUAUAUAAACGAUAAAAUAAAUACAUAUAACAGAAAAAAUGUAACAACCUUUGAUUUGGUUUUUUUUGCUCUCUAUAUUGCGUAAGUAGAAGUCUUUUUUAUUUCUGAUUUUGAAAUCGGAUCCUUAUUACAGUAUGCUCAAUGGCCUCUUAUAGCCGUAUGAAAUAAAUCUAAAAAGGAAAGAAAUCUAUUCUUGAUUUGAUUUACAAAUAUUGUUGAUUUGCUUUCCACUUUUGUUUUCCUCGAUGCACAGGUAAAAAUCCAUAGAGAUUCGGAGCUUGCGGCGCGAGAUGUUGCUGCUGCUAGGGUUCCAGAAAUUGUUCUCAUCAUUUGGGCUGAACUGUAAUUGGGCUUUGGGUUUGGGUCAUUUAUUUUAGGCCUGUUUCACUGUAAUUGGGUUUGGGUUUUGGGCCCGUUUAGUUGUAACAGGACUGUUCUAUAUAUGCCGGGUAAAAUUGAGGUAUUGCAAAUUAAUUUGCAUACUCGUGCGAUGCAUUAAUUAAAUGUAUAUUAUAAUUUUAAAUUCAACAUUUUAUUCAUGUUUUGAUAAAAGUUUUGUAUGUAUUCAAG